UACGUAGGGUGCGAGCGUUAAUCGGAAUUACUGGGCGUAAAGCGUGCGCAGGCGGUUUUGUAAGCCAGAUGUGAAAUCCCCGGGCUUAACCUGGGAAUGGCAUUUGGGACUGCAAGGCUUGAGUGCGGCAGAGGAGACUGGAAUUCUGGUGUAGCAGUGAAAUGCGUAGAUAUCAGGAGGAAUACCGAUGGCGAAGGCAGGUCUCUGGGCUGAACACUGA
rnacentral:rRNA from 1 species